CCCGGCACAUCCCAGCCAUGGCCUCGAGCUCCCUCCCGCUCCUCGCCCUCCUGGCCCUGCUGGCCCUGCCAGGGCUCCGGGCGGCCGUGACCCUGCUGGAGUCCGGGGGGUACCUCCAGCCCCCCGGGGGGUCCCUGACUCUGCUCUGCCGCGCCUCUGGAUUUGAUUUUGGGCAAUUCGGGAUGGGCUGGAUCCGCCAGAGCCCCAGGAAGGGGCUGGAAUUUGUCGCCAGCAUCACCGCUUUUGGCAGGAGAGGUGCACAGAGCGCAUACGCGCCGUCGGUGCAGGGCCGGGUCUCAAUCUCCAGGGACAACGGGCAGAGCUCGGUGACGCUGACCAUGAACAACCUCAAGGACGAGGAUUCUGGAGUUUAUUUUUGUGCCAAGUGUUUUGGCAGUGGUCGUUAUGAUUGGGAUGGCGGUACUGGUAUCGGUGCUGGUUACAGUAUUGACGCUGGUGCUGAUCCCAAGCACCCAUUGCUGAAUUCACAAAUGUGCCAAAAUUCCCACAUUCUGCCCCCAGAUCCCAACCCUUGACCCCGACCUUGAACACUGACCCCGGGUCCUCAGCCUU